GACGAACGCUGGCGGCGUGCUUAACGCAUGCAAGUCGAACGGAGAGGCCCUGCUUUUGUGGGGUGCUCGAGUGGCGAACGGGUGAGUAACACGUGAGUAACCUGCCCUUGACUUUGGGAUAACUUCAGGAAACUGGGGCUAAUACCGGAUAGGAGCUCCUGCUGCAUGGUGGGGGUUGGAAAGUUUCGGCGGUUGGGGAUGGACUCGCGGCUUAUCAGCUUGUUGGUGGGGUAGUGGCUUACCAAGGCUUUGACGGGUAGCCGGCCUGAGAGGGUGACCGGCCACAUUGGGACUGAGAUACGGCCCAGACUCCUACGGGAGGCAGCAGUGGGGAAUAUUGCACAAUGGGCGGAAGCCUGAUGCAGCAACGCCGCGUGCGGGAUGACGGCCUUCGGGUUGUAAACCGCUUUCGCCUGUGACGAAGCGUGAGUGACGGUAAUGGGUAAAGAAGCACCGGCUAACUACGUG
rnacentral:rRNA from 1 species